rnacentral:rRNA from 1 species
GACGAACGCUGGCGGCGUGCUUAACACAUGCAAGUCGAACGGAAAGGCCCUGCUUUUGUGGGGUGCUCGAGUGGCGAACGGGUGAGUAACACGUGAGUAACCUGCCCUUGCCUUUGAGAUAACUUCAUGCAACUGGGGCUAAUACCGGAUAGGAGCUCCUGCUGCAUGGUGGGGGUUGGAAAGUUUAGGCGGUUGGGGAUGGACUCGCGGCUUAUCAGCUUGUUGGUGGGGUAGUGGCUUACCAAGGCUUUGACGGGUAGCCGGCCUGAGGUGGUGACCGGCCACAUUGGGACUGGGAUGCGGCCCGGCCUACUACGGGAGGCAGCAGUGGGGAAUAUUGCACAAGGGGCGGAAGCCUGAUGCAGCAAAGCCGCGUGCGGGAUGACGGGCUUCGGGUUGGAUUCUGCUUUCCCCUGUGACGAAGCGUGAAUGACGGUAAUGGGUAAAGAAGCACCGGCUAACUACGUG